CAUUAAAAGUCUACAAAAUAUGGCAAAUAUAUAUAUAGAAGAUGGAUUAUGGAAAAGUUUGAUUUAUAGCUUGAAACAAUUCAGAAAUAUCCAAAAACAAGGGGAAAAAAUUAAAAAUAGAAAUCGUCAUAAAAAACAUAAACAUUAUAUAUUUAUACAUCAUAUGUGUGUGUGUGCGUGCAUUCGUGCGUGCGUGUGUGAUAGGAGUAGAGAUGAAGAAGUAGUUGAGAUUGACGGCCAUGAAGUACAAAAAAGACCGCACUUUAGAAGUACAAAAAAGACCGGACUUUAGAUAUCUUGGGUCAAUAAUCCAUGAAAAUAGAGAAGGAAAUAUAUAUAUAGAAGAUGGAUUAUGGAAAAGUUUGAUUUAUAGCUUGAAACAAUUCAGAAAUAUCCAAAAAAAGGGGAAAAAAUUAAAAAUAGAAAUCGUCAUAAAAAACAUAAACGUUAUAUAUUUAUACGUCAUUUGUGUGUGUGUGCGUGCAUUCGUGCGUGCGUGUGUGAUAGGAGUAGAG
rnacentral:lncRNA from 1 species